UACGGGGGAUGCAAGCGUUAUCCGGAUUUAUUGGGUUUAAAGGGUGCGUAGGCUGUGAGGUAAGUCAGCGGUGAAAUGCCCCCGCUCAACGGGGUGAAGUGCCAUUGAUACUGCCUUGCUGGAAUGCGGAUGCCGUGGGAGGAAUGUGUGGUGUAGCGGUGAAAUGCAUAGAUGUCACACAGAACACCGAUUGCGAAGGCAUCUCACGAAUCCGCUAUUGACGCUGAUGCACGAAAGCGUGGGUAUCAAACAGG
rnacentral:rRNA from 1 species